UGGCGGACGGGUGAGUAACGCGUGGGUAACCUGCCAUAUACAGGGGGAUAACACUUAGAAAUAGGUGCUAAUACCGCAUAAGCGCACAUGGCCGCAUGGCCAGGUGUGAAAAACUCCGGUGGUAUAUGAUGGACCCGCGUCUGAUUAGCUAGUUGGUGAGGUAACGGCCCACCAAGGCGACGAUCAGUAGCCGGCCUGAGAGGGUGGACGGCCACAUUGGGACUGAGACACGGCCCAAACUCCUACGGGAGGCAGCAGUGGGGAAUAUUGCACAAUGGGGGAAACCCUGAUGCAGCGACGCCGCGUGAGUGAAGAAGUAUUUCGGUACGUAAAGCUCUAUCAGCAGGGAAGAAAAUGACGGUACCUGACUAAGAAGCCCCGGCUAACUACGUGCCAGCAGCCGCGGUAAUACGUAGGGGGCAAGCGUUAUCCGGAUUUACUGGGUGUAAAGGGAGCGUAGACGGCAGCGCAAGUCUGGAGUGAAAUGCCGGGGCUCAACCCCGGAACUGCUUUGGAAACUGUGCAGCUUGAGUGCGGGAGAGGUAAGUGGAAUUCCUAGUGCAGCGGUGAAAUGCGUAGAUAUUAGGAAGAACACCAGUGGCGAAGGCGGAUUACUGGACGAUAACUGACGGUGAGGCGCGAAAGCGUGGGGAGCAAACAGGAUUAGAUACCCUGGUAGUCCACGCUGUAAACGAUCAAUACUAGGUGUGCGGGGACUGACCCCCUGCGUGCCGGAGUUAACACAAUAAGUAUUGCACCUGGGGAGUACGAUCGCAAGGUUGAAACUCAAAGGAAUUGACG
rnacentral:rRNA from 1 species